UACGUAGGGGGCAUGCGUUGUCCGGAUUUAUUGGGCGUAAAGAGCGUGUAGGCGGCCAAGCAGGUCAGCUGUGAAAACUCGAGGCUCAACCUCGAGACGUCGGUUGAAACCGCUUGGCUAGAGUCCGGAAGAGGAGAGUGGAAUUCCCGGUGUAGCGGUGAAAUGCGCAGAUAUCGAGAGGAACACCAGUGGCGAAGGCGAGUCCCUGGACAAUACCUGACACUGAGGCACGAAAGCUAGGGGAGCAAACAGG
rnacentral:rRNA from 1 species